AGCGUUAUCCGGAAUUAUUGGGCGUAAAGAGCUCGUAGGCGGUUUGUCGCGUCUGCCGUGAAAGUCCGGGGCUCAACUCCGGAUCUGCGGUGGGUACGGGCAGACUAGAGUGAUGUAGGGGAGACUGGAAUUCCUGGUGUAGCGGUGAAAUGCGCAGAUAUCAGGAGGAACACCGAUGGCGAAGGCAGGUCUCUGGGCAUUAACUGACGUUGAGGAGCGAAAGCAUGGGGAGCGAACAGG
rnacentral:rRNA from 1 species